UACGGAGGGAGCUAGCGUUGUUCGGAAUUACUGGGCGUAAAGCGCGCGUAGGCGGCUUUGUAAGUUAGAGGUGAAAGCCCGGAGCUCAACUCCGGAACUGCCUUUAAAACUGCGUCGCUUGAAUCCAGGAGAGGUGAGUGGAAUUCCGAGUGUAGAGGUGAAAUUCGUAGAUAUUCGGAAGAACACCAGUGGCGAAGGCGGCUCACUGGACUGGUAUUGACGCUGAGGUGCGAAAGCUAGGGGAGCAAACGGG
rnacentral:rRNA from 1 species